rnacentral:lncRNA from 1 species
UUAGCUGCCAAAUCUCCUUGCAAACUAGAAAUGAUCUCGGUCAUCUUUUCAUAAUCCAAUAAUCUUCAUUGUAACUUUCAUAACAACUACCCCAUCUUGGAUUUCUACAUACCUACCAUAAAAUAAUUUUUCAGACAUAACAUACAUAUAACCACCAUAUGCACAAAGGGUAAUCAUAUUAACUUACUAUAAUGCAGGGAGCAAAGUAUAUGGAAUUCCUAUAGCUUUAACUUCAAGUGCAG